ensembl:lncRNA
UGAGUCAUUCCGAGGCGGGGUGUAUGGCACAUUUAAUGGUUAAAUCAUCACUAUCAAAAAUGUUUGUUUUUAACUAUAUCACUUUGUAAUCAAGAUUUUAGAGACAUCUUCUGAAUAUCAGUUUAAAUUAUGGACUGAUAUACUCUAGGGGUGUAACGAUCCAUCUACUACAUCGAUGUAUCGAUAUAUAUUCCUAUGAUCCUACUACAUCGAUCUGUGCUCAGCAAGUUGGCCUUCCGGACGAUAUAUAUCGAUCUAACAUCGUUUUAAAAUGUAAUCAAUCGAUUGUAUCCAUACUAGGAAAUAACCCAUUGGAUUUAAGCACGUCAGACUUUAUAGGAAUGUUUUUUCUUAGCACUUUUAAUGAUAAAGGCGAUAAACGUUACUCGAUUCAGUCUGCCUAUCCGUGACGUCAUCGCCCCGGGCCAGCAGCAGCGCAAAGACAACAAAACAUAGCGAGGCAGAUGGCAGAGGAGAAGCCGACGAGCGAGAAAUUAUCAAGCCACCAUUGCGGUCCAGUGUGUGGAAAGUGUUGGUUGCACUUUAUUUUUGAUAUUAAUACUGUAUUUGUAUUAUUUCUAUGUUGAAAUACAACAGCAAAAGUAGCAGAUACCUGAUUCCCUUACAAGAAACAACAGGAAUCUAGGAAACUUCACCUGCACUGUCCAGUAUCCAGGUGGAAAUGUUAAAAACGGUUGAUUGUGAUUCCGCCGGAUUCAAAAGGAUACACAGGAUCCCCGAUCAAGACUGAAUCCUGUACAUUGUUCCUCUACAAGAGGACCUUGAUCUUCAUCCAGUCCCUGCACAUUCCAGAGUAUUCGAAGAAAUGCCAAAACCAACAUGUCAAAUGUGCAACCAAAACAUGCCACUACAGAUGCUGGCUCUUCAUAUCCAGGUUUGUGAGAAGGGAUGUGGAUCUGAGAAAGAAAAUGUAUCUGAGGAAGGAAAGGUGUAAUAAUAAUGUAUUUUUAGUUCUUAACAGAGUAUGUAGUGAAUGAACAUAUAUGCGUAAGUGAUCUAUAACCGUUACAAAUCAUGAUGAACACAACCCAAGAUUUUGUUUGGAUGGGGUGAAGGUGGGUAUUAGGCUGUGGAAUGUAUCAUCUGAUCAAUGUUUUCAAGGCUGCAUUAAUGUUGUUUUUAUCAGUCUCUGUAAUAGAUAAAAGUACAAGUAGAAAAUUAUGUGAGGGGAACUCUGAUAAAGCAUUUCAUUUUACAGUGUAGCAGAGACUUUUCUUUCCCUGCUUUAAUUUAAUCUUCACACUAAAUGUUUUAUUCUGCUGCUGUUUGGGUUUUGAAUUGUGGAUUUGUUGUCCAGGAACAGACUGAAGUUGAAUUCAUCUCUGAAAUAAAGUGAGUAGAGAUGGAGCCAGAAACGUAUGCUAAUGUGGUACCUUAAACCAGCAAUAUUUGUAAAAGUCAGCUUUUUUUUUAACACUUUUUGCUUUACAUAUUUGAAAAUGACAAAUGUACACAUUACCCUGCAUGGAUAUACACCAAUCAGACAACAUUAUGACCACCUACCUAAUAUUGUGUAGGUCCCCUUUUGCCCGUCAAAACAGCCCUGACCCAUAGAGGCAUGGAUUCCACCCGACCUCUGAAGGUGUGCUGUGGUAUCUGGAACCAAGACAUUAGGUCUUUACACAAACCUGGGGCUUUGUAGGACCUUCAGAUUCUUGUUUGUCGCGGGGAAACAUUCCUGUCAGGGGAACUGAUCAGUGUGACUGAAUGAAAACUUCCAAAUUCACACCUUCUGAGUAAUCCUGUUGCACAAUUUGUUUAACGCUAUGAAAAAACACACUUCACCAACAGCAUCUGAGCUCUGCUAAAUCAGCUGAUGUACCAUCAAUGAGAACGUGCCAAAUGACUUGCAAUUACAGCCUGUAAAUCAGCUCUUUAACAUCAUGUAUGGAUUUGGUCUCAGACUGAACCCAUGUCAGGACUGAGUCCCUGAGGUUUCCUGUGAAGCAGCGGGCCCUUUGGAAGAGCAACAUGAGUGUCUUCACCUGCAUGUCUUCUGUCAUGAAGUUCAAGGGUAUUAAUAGUUAAUAGGACGUCUGUGGGGAACUAAUAGUCUCUGUAACCCCCCAGUAAAACAUUUCUGUAAUCCCCCAGUAAAACAUUACUGUAAACCCCCAAUUAAGCAUUUCUGUAACCCCCCAGUAUAGCAUUUCUGUAAUCCUCCAAUAAAGCAUUUCUGUAAACCCCCAGUAAAACAUUUCUGUAAUCCCCCAGUAAAACAUUACUGUAAACCCCCAGUAAAACAUUUCUGUAAACCCCCAAUUAAGCAUUUCUGUAAACCCCCAGUAAAGCAUUUCUGUAAACCCCCAAUUAAGCAUUUCUGUAACCCCCCAGUAUAGCAUUUCUGUAAUCCUCCAAUAAAGCAUUUCUGUAAACCCCCAGUAAAACAUUUCUGUAAACCCCCAAUAGAGCAUUUCUGUAAUCCUCCAAUAAAGCAUUACUGUAAACCCCCAGUAAAACAUUUCUGUAAACCCUCAAUUAAGCAUUUCUGUAAACCCCCAGUAAAGCAUUUCUGUAAACCCCCACUAAAACAACACCAUUAUUCCUCACAAUUCAAGAUCACACUAUCUGGUUUUACACCAUUGAGCCAAUAAGGAGUAGCUCACACCCUUAUAACCCAAGGUAGUGACACCUGUUUUCUAAAACCCCCAGAGAUACAUUCACACUUCAGGUUUCCUACCUAGAAACUGUAUCAAAUGUCUGAGGCUUUGGGGUUUUAAAGGAUGGUUCCUAAUUUCCUAAAAAUAUAGAUGGCUGAUGAAAUAGCCCCUUAUUAUAUAUAAAGGUAUGAAACAGUAGACAUUUAGAUUUCUAUUAAGAGAUUAGUUAUACAGUGUAGCAGGCUCAGGGGUGUGGUGUUUCCAUGUCACCAAGGUCAAAAACAGCAGCACAGAAAGCAGGACCAGAAUGCAGUUGGGGUGUUUAUUAGAGGUGUUUGUACACAGUGGGGGAGAAAAUAAAGAGGAAUUCAUCAACCAAUUCACCGUCCUCAUCGUUCGUUGUCCUUUAUCCAGGUCCUCAUCCAAAACCCCCGGUCCUCAUCUAAAACCCAGGACCUCAUCCAAAACUUGUGUCCUUGUCCAAACCAGUUUGUUACACCAGUAAUCAGGCAGUCCAGGUCAUAACAGGCACUCACACAGAUCAGGCUGUCAAUACACACACUCUCCAUACCACACAUUGUCUUCCCCAAUUGGGCUGCCUGCUUCCUCCUUUAUCCCCAAGUACUCAACGGCUUAAUGAUGCUCAGACCUCCCUCGUUGGGGAAGUCCAUAGUAGGCUUGGGGGUGAAGUCUGCGGGCCACCAGAUAUCUUCCCCCAAUCACCCCUCACCAUCUCCCCACCACCUGACACAACUGUUAAGAUGUGACAACACAACAUUUAAGAUGUGACAACACAACAUUUAAAUUGUGACAACACAACAUUUAAGAUGUGACAACACAAUAUUUUAAAUGUGACAACACAACAUUUAAAAUGUGAUGUCUCUGAUUUAGAGAGGUAUAACUAUUGAAUGAGAAUAAUUAUACUGAAAACUCAAGACAUUACAGACCAAUAAUUUUCUGUUUAUACUUGAACAUAAGUAUUCACUCCCCUUGGACUUCAAUGAGUUGUAAACAUAGUUGACUGGAGAGUGACCUGGAUGUGAACAUAAUUGACUGGAGAGUGACCUGGAUGUGAACAUAGUUGACUGGAGAGUGACCUGGAUGUGAACAUGGUUGACUGGAGAGUGACCUGGAUGUGAACAUAGUUGACUGGAGAGUGACCUGAAUGUGAACAUAGUUGACUGGAGAGUGACCUGGAUGUGAACAUAGUUGACUGGAGAGUGACCUGGAUGUGAACAUAGUUGACUGGAGAGUGACCUGGAUGUGAACAUAGUUGACUGGAGAGUGACCUGGAUGUGAACAUAGUUGACUGGAGAGUGACCUGGAUGUGAACAUAGUUGACUGGAGAGUGACCUUACCCCUUGUGAAUGUCACCAGGACGACCAACCCUCGUCUGUUGUUCAGAAGUUAACAGAGAGGAUAAUGUGAUGGAAAUUUCAUGUAUCGACACUCUUAAAGAAGUAAGAAACAGAGACAAAGUUCUCUUGGCACAUUCUAAUAGUUUUAUUAACUAUUAUACAAAAUCAACAUUGAUUUUGUAUAAUAAUUAAUAAUCCUCUGAUAUUAUACAGACAUGUGUGUCACAAUCAAAGUACAGAUUUAUAUAUCAGCCAAUGGAAAGACGGACAUUUCUCAAAUGCACCUUAGUUCAAAAUUUCCAUAACAAUAACUGGAGACUUUGAUCCUAAGAAAUAAAAGACUGAUGCCAUAUGGAACACUUUAACAAAGAUCUUGUUUGAUCUUAGCUGAACAAAGACACCAAAUGUAGACUAGUUCAACAUGAUCAUUCUCCCAUUUAGAAGUAAAUCUACUGCAACCAGAGAGUAUUCAGAAUGUACCGAUUCCAAAACUGAGCCUACGCCAGACAACACAACAAUGAAUCAAUGUAGUAAUCUCCAUUUAUUAAAAAUACUUAAACAAUAUUUAUACAUCAGUAUUCAUAAACAUAAACAAUUCCUCGAUAUUACAAAUAUAAUUACAUGACCCUUAAACUGUAUCAGAACAGUCAACAUUAUGACUAUUUAACUAGUAAAACAACUGUUAAAAAACAGUACAUUGUAUCAAUCAAUCACAUUUAUUUAUAAAGCCCUUUUUACAUCAGCAGUUGUCACAAAGUGCUUUUACAAAACACUCGGCCUUAAACCCCAAGGAGCAAACAACAGUAGUGUUGAGCAAAUCUAAAUAUCUAAAUUCAUGAGGAAUAUCUACUUAGUUUCAAAGUGGACUUGCCAAAAUCUGAAAGUUGUCAAUAAGUUUUCUAAACACGUUACAUGCUAAUAAUCAGCAUUAUUGUUUCUCAGUUUAUAUUUUUAUUUUAACCUUUAUUCAUAUUAGCAAGAUCUGAUGAUGUUUCACCAGAUCUCAAACCUCUUGUCUGUCAGGAAGGGCCUUCUGUCCUUGAUUCUGUUGUUGUAGAGCCUGUAGAGAAAAACUCUGUUGUUGCUGUUGUGUCUUAAGAAAUGUCCCAACAUUAUAAUUAUUAUUGUUGUUACCAUUCUGAUUAAACACUUUUCAGAAUCUUGACAGUUUCAACGUGUUUCCACAAAACCCUUCAUAUGUAGUUUCUUCUUUGAAAUUAAAUGUCUGAUCCUCCUUGAUGACCUGGCAGGAUUCACAUGCAACUGGGUCAUCAAGAAGAAACCAAAAAUGAAGUGGCAUAUGCCACCCCGUUGACUACAUUAAAACGGCACUGCCCAUUGGCAUAUGGAAUGAUGGGAAAUAUACAGAGAUUCAUCUUCUCAAUGUCUAUCUCCAGGCACCACCUUCCUAGGUGUCGAGGUGCCACAUUUUCAAUCGAGGCCCCCUGGGUUCUGCAAGUAACAGUCUCACGUAUGACACUCAAAUUACCCACGACUGACGGCCACUAUCCUGCGUGGUACGACUCCAACACGUCGGUGGACAUUCAAACCUCAGGAAACUCCUUGCUGCUAUUCCUGCAUUCCAGUUGCACAUGCACCUUCAAUUAGCCUUUUUGCACAUUUAAAAUUGUCAUUUGUACUUGCAUUUGCCUUCAUUGCACAUCUAUACAUCCUAAUUGUAAUAUAUACUAUACUUCAUACUUGUAAAGACUUGAACAUUUCUGCCCUCUUCUAUUUGCACUUCUGGAUAGAUGUUAACUGCAUUUCAUCGUACUGUACUUGUACUGCUGAAUGACAAUAAAGUUUAAUCUAAUCUAUUCUCUCUUUUGUAACACAAACCUGCCCUAAAUGGGGAGGGACUUGAACUGUCCAAUAGAAACUUCCCAUUUUCCUCUGAAAUGUUUACCUACUGAAUACACUAAUAAACACCCCCAGAUCCGAUCAGAGUUUUACCUCAAAGUGAAGCACCAUCUUAAACCUUAAAUACCCUUCUAAUAGUGAACCCACAGUAAAACACAAUGUUGUUUUAACAAAUAAAGGGUGUUCAUACACUUAUUAAAACACACUUACCGUACAGUGUGUAUUGAGGGGUUGGUAGAGACCAGUUGGACUAUUCUCUCAGUCACAGCAUCAGUGAUGUCAUUAUGACUCAGGCUGAGA